UCAUCUAUUAAUUCUGAAAGCGGUAAGUCCAGAAGUGUAAUCACAAUCAGUGUAAUCAUAUAAAGAAGACAGAAACCAGGCCAAGCUACGUAUGGCCAAAAAGGACCAAUUGCCCUAAGGGCGGUCCCUCUCUUUCGGGCGCUCGGUCCCUCUUUCUUGCCAACCCGACUUUUCCCAAAGGGAGUUCGUAUAGUCCUUCCUCUCCUCAAAAAGAAGAACGAGCUAACAAUCGUAUUCAGGGGCAUUGCAUUUCCUCCACCAGAUUCAUCAGGAGUUUUCUAUAGGGUAGUAUCCACAACAAACAACAGUAAUACAUUGAUGUCAUGCAUUCAUCCGGUAAGACUCUAUUCCCCUAAUCCCUGGACAAGUAAAGACUAUGGGUUACAGUGGCAGUUCGCCGAGCUUUCCUCAGGACAGGGAACCCUUUCUUCGCUGAGUAGGGGACGUUUUCAAUAGCUUGACUUUUCCUGCUACUGUCAAUGUUGUAAGGCCUGGCCUGAUGAACAUCAAUUUCCUUCCUAAUCUUAUUACAGCCGUCUGGAAUUAUGAAUAGUUAGGCGCUUUUGAAAAACAGUUCUUUUAUUUCAUGGAGAGAGUUGGAGGUUAUUUGGAGUUCUAUACUUGAUCGGAUGAUCUAGCAGACCUGGGCUUUCCUUUGGGGGGGAGACUUUCCGCAAGUCUGCAUCAACCAAGGCAAACUUGUGGUAGAGUUCAUGCAGAUAAGGGUAAACGCUACUAGAAAGCCGAAUGCUACUGGUGCGUUGGGAGGGGUGUUGUCUACGAUAGAAGCCGAAGAGAUGUUCGACACCUCUUAUGUUAUAUUGUACCAAUACUGCUUCCUUAUAAACGAAACUCACUGUUGACUUUAAUCACUUAGCUAGUCCAUCCAAUAAUCUGUUUGCUUGUUGCAUAUAAUGGAAUGGAUGCCCUUGUAGCAUAUGAUUGAGUAAAUGAACCUCACCGCUUACAGCUGGCUCUAGCUAACUCUCGACUCUACUCCACUGAACCUUCUCUAGCAAACUGUCCACUCUCUUGAAAACGAGUUCAAUCAGAUCUUAUAACUGCUCUGAUGCACCUGAUCUAGAUUGGAUUCAUUCAUUCUUAUAUCCUUGUUUUGCUUUCCAGGGUGCCGAGUUGAAUCAGUUUCUUUCCUUCCCACGCCAACACACCUUAUCUUACUUUCUCACCUUACUUGAGAACGGAGUUUGAUGGUUCCUUUGCUUUAAGAUCCUUGUACUGUGCCACUUAUUUGAUGGUUCCUUUGCUUUAAGAUCUUUGUCCUGUGCCACUUAUAUAUCUGGGCUUUGAAGCUGGAUCAGAGGCAGUGAGAAAGUCAUCCUCACUUCAAUAUGUUUCAGUUUCAUCUGCUUAUGUCUCUCUAGAAGUUGCGGUAAAGAGGGAAGUGAAAGAUUUCUUCUUAUUAGUAGUAUAAGUCCCAACGGAGUCGCUUUGAAGCCAGUUAGUCGUGACCGAUUCAAAUAUCCCGAAAUAAGAACAGUGACAGGAAGAGGCAAUUCUCAUUCUUCUGAUCCGAACGGGGCUGUAAACGGUAGCAGUGGUUGAGUUCUUCCUUCGGUGUUUCAUUCUCAAUUUCCCACUUGGUAGUUUAGUUCUUCCUUCGGUGUUUCAUUCGAACUUUACUACUCGAUAGGAUGGGUCGGCAAGAGAAGCUAUAAAAGGUGCUGGGGAAGAAACAUAAUCUGGUCCAGGGCAGUUCCGGAUUCAAGUCUUGUUCCGGUGCUUAAGUUGUCUACAAUAGAAUCAGCAUGAGAGUCGAGUGUUGUCCCAACCAAUACUAUAAGAUAAUAGAAGAAAAGGGAGUUUCUAUAUAGAAGUGUGGAUUAGAGAGUGUUGUUCGGUUACUAUCCCAUACUAUGAUGAUAGGUUAACUUCUCUUCGAUUCCAUUCUAUCGGUUAUGAGUACUGGUUAUAUUACUGGCUGACGCGCCAAAUGACUUAAGGGCAUCAGUUGUCAUAGCAUUAUAUUGGCGUUUAUUAACUUAAUCAAUUAUACCAUAUGUCCCCGCUGCUACUAUUAACUGAAAUAAGUCUCAAGAAUUCUUCUAUUCAUCAACAAGCAAUAAGAUAAGUGAUAAGUGAGUCUCGUAUAUAAUCAAAAGUCAUCUCACCAAACCAGCUAUUGAUCGGAAUCGCUCAGAGGCCAUCCCGACGUAUAGUUAAGGAGUUUUGAGACUUCCUGCCACAGUUGAGUGGGACAGAAUCCAGAGCCUUUGUUUCCCAGCAUCGGAAGGUUUAGGGUAUCGGAAGAGCUUUGCAAUCAUAUCUAAGCCGUCAAUUCAAAUUGCCUACUCUGAGGCAGAGGCAACCAACAGAACCGAUAAAGCGAGAGCAACCUUGGACGCCACAAUCUUUUCUACGAGAUGGAAUUCCUUCUUUUGAGUUUCGGGGUGCACAAUAAAAGCACUAGUAAGGGGCAAUAAAUAAAGUAGCGAGUCUCUAUUCUUUAUAAAUAAUAAUAAUUGCACAGCCCACUCACUCCCUGUGUCGGUAACACCUCGCGCGGGAAGGAACGUUCUUGUCGAUGGAGUUAAAAGCUUUCCCGAGUAGUGGAAUUCUUUAAUCGCAUGGGAUGAAUAAAAUGAGAAGAAAUACAAAAAAAGUGCAAGAAAAGUGAAAGACUACUUGGACGAAAACAGGGCAGCUCCCGUUAUGAGAAAGUCCUGUGUGAGCCUUGCCGACCUCCACUAUGGCUUGCUUCAACCAAAGCCAGUACUUUCUGAUUCCCUGCUAUUAAUAGUAAGGGCCCUGCUUUCCAGGGAAUUCCCCACUCCCUGCUUCCAAGCUAGUAUCUUUUUUACUAGAAACUUAAUUGACUACUACUGUUCCUACUUCUGAUCUUUACUCGGAACUUGAAUAAACGUCUUCUGCUUAUAAUUGAACUGCAACACUCUCUUUUGAGGUUUAAGUGAACCUCUUAUUAUGAUUAUGAUUAUCUUCCUUAGUUCGAGGUGCAUUAGCUUAGUUUUCUCUUCUCUUAUAGGACACACCGGACAAGAAGUUUCGUUACCAACCAGAGCAGAGGUCGCAAACACGGAUGAUUUCAUAUGUAAAAGUGCAAACUCUUGAUUACUUGCUAAAGAGACUAACUCAAGAACGGAUACACUUUCGCCAACAGCUUGAUUGAUACCUAACAGCUUCUUUUCCAGCUUCGUAUUCUGAGCCUGCUCGGGGUAUUAACCAUCUUUGCAAUGAGAGUAGAGUGAGGGCAAUUAGAAGUGGAGAUAUAGGUGAGAGUAGCAGUUUUCGAAUCAAUUACAGGCUUUUAAGCGCUAACACGAGUUUCCGUUUAAGUAGGUUCAUUUCCGCUAGAGCUCUUUUCUUUGUAGUGAUUACGAAGAACUUCUGCAGCUCCCGUUAGCUGAAAGUAAGGAGUUUUUGAGAGUGAUUCGCAAGUCAAGUUUUCAGUGGUACGAAAGUCAGGAGAGUCAGGAGUGUUAGGCAAAGGGGAUAGAGUUUUUUAUAUAACUUGGUAACCAGACGGAGUAAGAGAUAGAUGAACUUCAAGUAGAGGUCGUGGACAUGGAGAAUUGCCAGUUCCAGAAGACUGUUCAGGUCAGGCCCAGACUCAGUGUUAACGGGAGAGUGUUAACAGUUGGAGAAUGACUUGUCGUUAGGUGUAGUUUUUGUUUGAUGAUCUUCAGCUGUUCGCAAGUAAGCUGCUAUUCCAGUUUAGGUCGGCCUUGUUGCGAGGUGUGGUCCAAGCAGAAAAGUGUUGUGUCAGUGCUCUAGCUCGUUGUACGCAAGUGAAGAAGCUGUUAGGUAACUUCAUUCUACCUGUGGUGCUCCAGAGAGAAAAUCCAGUCAUUCAUAUCUUUGAGGCGCAAGAGAGAGAAGAGAAAGCAUUACUUGUUGCGUAGUUACUUGUUGCGUAGUUGCUUGUUGGUGCUCGAUACGCUUUAUGGAAAUUCUUGGAUUUUCAUAGCUAAUGGAGUUAUCAAAAUGCAUGUUGGCUGGGGCUCUGUCAUAUUCCUAUUUCUAAUACGAGUUGACCUGAUCGUGAUAGUAGUGGAUCUUAGCGUUAGGGAGCUACUCCACCCAGGGACCGGGAGUACCCUUUUCUUCAUCAACAAAGGUUCGAGUGAUAGUUUGAGCAGGAUCAUAAUGAGUAUGAAAAGGCAGGAUCAAAAGCAUAUAAAGAAGCAUAAUCUGGAUCAACAGAAUCCACAGUACAGUGCCAAAGUAUGCAGCAAGGAAAGUCUCAAGUUCAUGAGUUUCGGGAUGCGCUAAUGGGGGGAAGAGGCGAUAUAUUCCAAUUCCCAUUAUAGAGUUCGAUCGAGUGUUGGC
rnacentral:lncRNA from 1 species